rnacentral:rRNA from 1 species
AUUGAACGCUGGCGGCAUGCCUAACACAUGCAAGUCGAACGGCAGCACGGCAGUAGCAAUACUGUGGGUGGCGAGUGGCGGACGGGUGAGGAAUACGUCGGAAUCUGCCCAGUCGUGGGGGAUAACUAGCCGAAAGGUUAGCUAAUACCGCAUACGACCGAGAGGUGAAAGCGGGGGACCGCAAGGCCUCGCGCGAUUGGAUGAGCCGACGUCGGAUUAGCUAGUUGGAGGGGUAAAGGCCCACCAAGGCGACGAUCCGUAGCUGGUCUGAGAGGAUGAUCAGCCACACUGGAACUGAGACACGGUCCAGACUCCUACGGGAGGCAGCAGUGGGGAAUAUUGGACAAUGGGCGCAAGCCUGAUCCAGCAAUGCCGCGUGUGUGAAGAAGGCCUCGGUU